UGGGGAAUAUUGCACAAUGGGCGCAAGCCUGAUGCAGCCAUGCCGCGUGUGUGAAGAAGGCCUUCGGGUUGUAAAGCACUUUCAGCGAGGAGGAAGGUGGUGAACUUAAUACGUUCAUCAAUUGACGUUACUCGCAGAAGAAGCACCGGCUAACUCCGUGCCAGCAGCCGCGGUAAUACGGAGGGCGCAAGCGUUAAUCGGAAUUACUGGGCGUAAAGCGCACGCAGGCGGUUUGUUAAGUCAGAUGUGAAAUCCCCGGGCUCAACCUGGGAACUGCAUUUGAAACUGGCAAGCUAGAGUCUCGUAGAGGGGGGUAGAAUUCCAGGUGUAGCGGUGAAAUGCGUAGAGAUCUGGAGGAAUACCGGUGGCGAAGGCGGCCCCCUGGACGAAGACUGACGCUCAGGUGCGAAAGCGUGGGGAGCAAACAGGAUUAGAUACCCUGGUAGUCCACGCUGUAAACGAUGUCGAUUUGGAGGUUGUGCCCUUGAGGCGUGGCUUCCGGAGCUAACGCGUUAAAUCGACCGCCUGGGGAGUACGGCCGCAAGGUUAAAACUCAAAGG
rnacentral:rRNA from 1 species